rnacentral:rRNA from 1 species
AUGAUUCGGUGGGUUAACCAGCUCAUGCUCCCAGAUGGAAAGCAGUGGGAUGUGCUGCUAAUUAAUCAAAUUUUUCACCGGUUCGAUGCGGAGGAAAUUUGUAAACUGAGAAUACCAGUAAAUGUGGUGGAGGAUACUAUUGCUUGGCAUUAUGAGAAAACUGGCCGGUUUACUCAAGAGUGCUUACAAGCUUGCGGACUUGAUAAAGAGAGAUCAUUGCGGCUGCUUCAUCUUCCGAAGCCGAGGCUAGGGACAGAAGCAUAUGGGAUAUCAUUUGGAAAGCAAAGAUACCAGAGAAAAUCAAGAUCUUCGGCUGGCGCGUUGCGACCCAGUCACUAG